rnacentral:rRNA from 1 species
CAGUCGCCACGGGAAUACGGAGGGUGCAAGCGUUAAUCGGAAUUACUGGGCGUAAAGCGCACGCAGGCGGUCUGUCAAGUCAGAUGUGAAAUCCCCGGGCUUAACCUGGGAACUGCAUUUGAAACUGGCAGGCUAGAGUCUUGUAGAGGGGGGUAGAAUUCCAGGUGUAGCGGUGAAAUGCGUAGAGAUCUGGAGGAAUACCGGUGGCGAAGGCGGCCCCCUGGACAAAGACUGACGCUCAGGUGCGAAAGCGUGGGGAGCAAACAGGAUUAGAUACCCGCGUAGUCCCUGUCUCUUAUAC